CGUCUUCCACCACAAUAUUUUCGUUUCCCACCCCAAACCCCUUUUUCGUCUUCCACCGCAAUAUUUUCGUUUUCCCACUUCAAAACAACAAUGGUGAUUUUCUCUUUCAAAGCAACAAUAACGAAUUUUCCACACUUCUAGACUUCACAGCUUGCUGGAAGCCAUUGAUUACAUUCUUGAAGGUGCCUAAAACCUGGUUAUACCAAUUCAAAACUACAGGAGCACCCCUUCGAGGAAAAAACUUUUGAGUAAAGCGUCAUCUCUGAGUCCCACGAAUCACAACGGUGUUGAAUACUGCAAGGCAUAGAUAAUUGACACUUAAGAAUAUGAGUGAUUCGCCAUCAUCAGUUGCUGGUGUUCCUUGUACUCCUACUACUCCAAGUACUCCAAAUAUCUCUAUUGGGUCUACUAGCGGCUCAUCGUCAUCUAGUCGGUUAGUCAUCUCAGUUGUAGGAGAAAAGUUUGUUCCUAAUGGGCAUCCUAUUUCGAAGAGCAUCACAGAAAUAUUCAAGGAACGACAAGACGCUACUGGUUACUCAUGGAAGGUUGUUAGUGAAUCCACU